GCUUUAAUUUUCACUGGGGAAGAAACUGUCAAGGCCACUUUGCAGGGCACAGGAGAAAGCAGAGUUCCUGAGUGCAGAACUCUCUGUUCAAGGACUUUAAAGUUUAGAGAAACUUCCGGAGCCAAGCAUAAAAUAGGUACCGUGUUCAACCUUUUCUAAUACAGGAAGAGAUAUUUUUUAACACUACAACUGCAAGAUGCCACAGCACUUUAAUACUCACAGUGUGGAGAGAGCUCUCCUCCUCUGUUUUAAUUUGAAGAAGUGAAUCCUGGCAAGUGCCCAGAUUUGCUGUCACCAGAGAGCCAUGCCAACCUUUUGUCUUACUCAUCCCAUUAAGGGAAGAGACAACUCGUCCUGUGCCAACAACCCUCCCUGGGUUUCUCGUCCCUUCAGCUUAUGCAUCUUCCAAAAUACCAAUAUCUGUAAAACAAAAACUAAGCAAUCUCUCCUAAGUGUCAUCUCAUGUGCUUCUGAUUGAACCUUCUGUAAGAACAUUCUUUGACCGGGAGUCUCACACUAUCUUCACUUAUACAGGGAGCAGAAAUUUCAAGAAAAAGGAAAAACUGUCAAUAAAAACGUGCAUAAAGAUGUUCAUUAAUAUUAUUCAGAAUACCCUGAAAAUAAAAACAACUCCAAAAUAUGCCUCUGAAGAGAAAAUAAAUGGUGGAAUACAACUCCUCAAUAAAGAAAAACCUUCUAAUAUUUAGGACGGUACAGCUGAAUCACAAGAAAGAGAAACUGAAGAACAAGAGACUCUUUAUUCUACUUAGAUAAAGUCCCAGAGCAGGAAUGAGGAGCUCAAAAAGACUCUCAUGGAAUGAUUUUCGGAGCAACUUCCUGGGGUGAGCUAUGUUCCACAAGUUACAUGGCUGUUUCUGGCAACUACUGCCAAACUCUUCUAUAUGAAAAAUCAGUAAAUGGGUAUUUUAUUUUAAGCAACUAUACUUAUGUGCUGCCUAUGUGUUUCUGUUGCACUGCCAUAAUUUCUGCCAAUAUGUAUCAUUCAUUUGUGAAAUAAAUUGUACCACAGUCUUCCUCUUUUAUA